CUGUGUAUUUUUCCCAGGUUGCCCCGCGCUACUGUCAUGGCUGCCUCCUUUUGGCCAUAUCCUCACAUGGGGCUCUAUGUCUAUGGAUACCUUUACGGUAACUGUAGCCCCUAGACUUCGGCGACUUUAGACUCUUCUCAUUUCACUUUUUGUUUCCUUUUGUGUGGCCCUUGUAGGAACUUACUUUGCAACGAUGUGCGGGGUGAUGUGGACCCCGGAGGUGGCAGUUCUGAGGGGCUUCUCUACUGAGGCUGAGCGGCAGCAGUGGAAGCAGGAGGGAGCGUCUGGCUCAGAGAGUGGAUCCUUCUUACAGUUGCUGUUAGAAGGGCGUUAUGAGGCUGUGUUCUUCCAUUCAGUGACUCAAAAUAUUUUAAAUUUUUCAACAAUGGCUGAAGAAAAAAUUGACAGCUACCUGGAGAAGCAGAUAGUAACAUUCCUGGAUUGCUCUGCAGAUUUGGACAAAACAGAAAGACAGCAGCUGAUAUUCCUGCUUGGUGUGAGCAGUUUGCAGCUUUUUGUUCAGAGUAACUGGACGGGGCCUCUUGUGGACUUGCACCCUCGAGAUUUUUUGCCAUCUGUUCUGUUCCAGCAAUUUAGUAAGGUCAAAGAACUAGACAUGGUUGUUCUGAGCCUGCUCACUCUAGACGGUGAAUCAGUCUACAGUCUGACUGCAAAACCUAUCCUGCUACUGAUUGCACGCAUUAUCCUGGUGAAUAUAAGACAUAAACUGACAGCUAUUCAGAGCUUGCCAUGGUGGACUUUGAGAUGUGUGAAUAUUCACCAGCAGUUGCUAGAGGAGCGCUCACUUCAGCUUUUUGCUCUUGUUGAGAACUGUAUUGAUCAAGUGUUGAAACUAGAGAAUCUGUUUGCAGAUGAUUCGGGUCGAUAUUUGGUGAUUCAAUUCCAUCUGGAAUGUGCAUAUAUAUAUUUAUAUUAUUAUGAAUAUAAAAAAGCGAAAGAGCAGUUCAAUAUUGCUAAAGACAUUGGCAAAUUGCAUAUUGACUUGACAGGUGUAUUAGGAAAAAGAACACGAUUCCAGGAAAAUUAUGUAGCACAACUGAUUGUGGAUGUAAGAAGGGAAGGGGAUGGCCUUUCAAACUCUGAAUUCAGUCCAGCACCCACCCCUCAGGAACGUUUAACCAAGAAUCUUGAGCUCAAUGAUGAUACUGUUCUGAAUGAGAUAAAAUUCGCAGACUGUGAACAGUUUCAGAUGCCUGACCUUUGUGCUGAAGAGCUUGCUGUUAUCCUUGGAGUCUGCACAAAUUUUCAAAAGAAUAACCCAGUACAUAAGUUAACUGAAGAGGAGCUGCUGGCAUUUACAUCAUGUUUGCUUUCACAACCAAAGUUCUGGGCCAUUCAGACAUCAGCCUUGAUCCUCCGGACAAAACUUGAGCGAGGAAGCACCCGCCGAGUGGAACGGGCAAUGAGGCAGACACAGGCUCUUGCAGACCAAUUUGAGGAUAAAACUACGUCUGUGUUGGAACGUCUGAAGAUUUUCUACUGCUGUCAAGUACCACCUCACUGGGCUAUCCAGCGCCAACUUGCAAGUUUGCUGUUUGAGUUGGGGUGUACCAGUUCGGCCCUUCAGAUAUUUGAGAAGCUGGAAAUGUGGGAAGAUGUGGUCAUUUGUUACGAAAGGGCUGGGCAGCAUGGGAAGGCAGAAGAAAUCCUUAGGCAAGAGCUGGAGAAAAAAGAAACACCAAGUUUAUACUGCUUGCUUGGAGAUGUCCUUCGAGAUCACUCCUGCUAUGACAAGGCCUGGGAGCUGUCCCAGCACCGCAGUGCUCGGGCCCAGCGCUCCAAAGCCCUCCUUCAUCUUCGGAACAAGGAGUUUAAAGAAUGUGUGGAGUGCUUUGAACGCUCUGUGAAGAUUAAUCCUAUGCAGCUUGGAGUGUGGUUUUCUCUAGGCUGUGCCUAUUUGGCCUUGGAAGAUUAUGGAGGCUCAGCAAAGGCAUUUCAGCGUUGUGUGACCCUAGAACCUGAUAAUGCUGAAGCUUGGAACAAUUUAUCAACUUCCUAUAUCCGAUUAAAACAAAAAGUAAAAGCUUUUAGAACUUUACAAGAAGCUCUCAAAUGUAACUAUGAACACUGGCAAAUCUGGGAAAACUAUAUCCUCACCAGCACUGAUGUUGGGGAAUUUUCAGAAGCAAUUAAAGCUUAUCACCGACUCUUGGACUUAAGAGACAAGUACAAAGAUGUUCAGGUCCUUAAAAUUCUGGUCAGGGCAGUGACUGAUGGGAUGACUGAUCGAAGUGGAGAUGUUGCCACAAGCCUCAAAGGAAAGCUGCAGGAGUUAUUUGGCAGAGUAACUUCAAGAGUGACCAAUGAUGGUGAAGUCUGGAGGCUGUAUGCCCAAUUGUGUGGGAAUGGACAGAGUGAGAAGCCCGAUGAGAACAAGAAGGCAUUCCAGUAUCUCUUGAAGGCAUACAAGUGUGACACCCAGUCCCGUUGUUGGGAGAAAGAUAUUGCAUCAUUUAAGGAAAUCGUUCAAAGAGCCUUAGGGCUUGCACAUGUGGCUAUAAAAUGCAGUGAAAACAAACCUGGUCCUCAAGAAGCUGUACAGAUGCUUUCUUCAGUUCGACUUAAUUUACAGGGCUUACUAUCUAAGGCAAAGCAACAUUUUACAGACGUGACAAGUGGAGAAGUUUCCAGUGAGUUAGCAGAUGAAAUAGCAGCUAUGGAUGCCUUGGUAACAGAACUUCAAGACCUAAGCAACCAGUUUCGAAAUCAGUAUUAACCGUGCUGAGAACAUUUUCUGGAAAAGUGACCUAUGGAGUCAACCUCACCAUCUCUUGGCCCUGUGCCAACAUUGUGAUCUAUGAAAAGGGAAUCCUGCCAAGGGCUACAGGACAGAAAACUGGUAUUAUUAAAGUGGUCUUCUGAAUGGUAAGUAUCAGCCAUUUUUUAAUCUUUUGUGAUAUUAUUGCCAGAAAGAGAUGAGGGGGCUUAAAUCAUGUUAAUGUUAAGGAACUAACCCAUGCAUUGCUAACUUUUUCCAGAUCAAAGGCUCAAAUGAACAUGAGUAUCUGUAGUUAUGUAGAUUAUACAGUGCUGCUCACACACAGACAUGCUUCUUGAAAACUCCGAUUAUGGGACUCUCUUAACUUCUCUAAGCCUCAGUUUCCUUACCUGUAGCCUUGUGAGUGAUCUAUAUCACACAUUUGUUAUAAUAAGAUCAGUUGAGAAGAUACAUGUAAAGUGCUUUGAAAAUAAAAUGUGAAUAGGAUAUAUAUUGCAAGUAAGAGUGUCUUAGAAACAAACUAUCUUAUGAUAAACACUACUGCUUCCCUCUGAGCAGCAUGAUGACCCUGAGUGCUGCUGGCCCAUGACACCAAACUGUUGUGAUUCUCAGUGUUUUCAUUCUACAGCAACCUUUUCCCCCUUUCUGGGCUUCAAGUGGCUAUAAGGAAAAGGAUAAAGGUAAGAAUAUGAUAGAUUUUUAUGAAGUGAAGGAGAAAGAGAACCAAAUUCUUAUCAUCAGGAUUUUGGAAAAGGAAAAAGAAAUGAUGAUAGAGAAGAAUAGGCCAAAAGAAAAGAAAAGAUGAACUGGAGAACUGACUGGGUAGAAUGAACCCAAAGGAUGAGAAGCUAGAGCUGAGGUCCCAGCUUCACCACUUCCUAGGUGUUACCCUAUCUGAGCCCCUGAACCUCUCUGAGCCACAGUCUCCUCAGCUAUAAAAUGGAAAUACCCACCCUGCAAACCAGAGAGAAUUUAUCAGAUGAUGUAUGUGAAGUAUUUUGUGAACAACUGUGCACAAUUAGUUCUUGUUAUCAUUGAAAGAAAGGAGCAUUGUGGAUGUCUCUAAGUUCUCAGGGGUAGUGGAGUCCCUGGGUGGGGGCAUCCAGCAACUCGGCUCCAGUUUCUAUAAUCCUCAUGGGGGUCAUAACCCUGUAGUUUGAGAAACAAUGCUGCAGAAUGUCUUUCAGUCUUCUGUGUGCCCUUCAUCACUGCUUACUAAAACCACUUUGGCCUCUGGGUUGUCUGGUGCCAGGGCUGAUAAAAGCUGUCUUGUUAUUUUUACAAUGGUCAGCAUAAGCAGAAGACCUGCGUAUUCCUCAACAGUUCUUUUUCACACACAAGAAGAGAACAGCAGUGGACCUAAAGUGUGCUUCGCAUCCUGAAUUGAUUCCUCAGACCACAGUCAAUAGGACGUAGGGCUAUUUUUUUUCAGGAGGAAAGAUCUUGACUUCAAAAGUAACAAAAUACUUGAGAAGCGAAUUUACAUCUUCCAGUUUUAAAUGCAGGACCAGCAUGAGUGGUGGCACUGGGGACACUGGGUGGGGAGAAAGCAGCCCAAGUUAGCGGGCUAACCUGGACGAGUGAAGAGAAACCCCGUGUACGUGGCAGUCAGCCAGGACCUCACUUCACUUACCGCUGCAGUUCUGGCCCCUUUCUGGAUCGAGUUAGUUCCAGCUGUAUCCCAUGGAACUUCCUCCCCCGUCAGUAAGAACGCUUUCCAGUGCUUGUCAGUUGUCUGCUUUGAGAGGUAACUCAGAUGGUGAUGGAGCUUUAAUCAGCCCGGGAAACGGAGCCUUGAGCCAGCAUGUUCACUGCAGAGGUGUGUGUGACAACAUGGCAACAAAAGGGAUCCCGCCGGACAUCACUUCACCGUCACAUCACUUGGUUUCCUUGGGGUCUUCAUGGGUCAGAUGAACUAAUGGCAGCAAAGUGUUGGACUCAUACCAAGUGCUUGAUAGAGAGGCUCCGUGACUUAAUGGGUCCAGAGCAAGUGGCUGAUUCUAGGUUCAAGACCAUAACAAACAAGAGGAGUUGGUGGUACCAGAAACGUUAUUUCAUCUUCUGGGUUUUAUUAGUUCUGAGGAGAGUCAGAAAUGUCCCCGGUGCCCCCUCUCCCCUCCACCUCCCCCAGAGGAGAAAAGGACACUGGACCCACAGCCGCCCAAAAUCAGCAUCUCUGGAAACUCAGGCCUUGCCUCCAGGUCCAGUUCUUCCUUUAUCAGAGGGUAGCCCUGAAAUCAAGGAAGGCAGGAUUUGGAGAGCGUGGAAGUAGCUGCUUUGUCUGGGCUUGUGCAUUGCUCUUUGUGGCUGCAAGGACCUUCAGGCUCAUUGUAGGAAAACCAGUUAAAGCAGAAAAGGUCCAUGCAACCAAAUCUCUGCUCCCCAAAGUAGCUGUGCAACUUGUAAUUUCCCGAGAACUUCACUUACCUCUCUCUAGUGCCAGGUCCUUCAUGCUGCAUUUUGUAUUUCUGUAACAUUCUUAAAAACCUUUGUUAUAUUUAGUUUAGUGAAGUAUAUUUAUCAGAAACAAAGAAAGACUGAAGUAUUGACUGCAGGAUCGAUUUACAGAGAGAUGCAUACAUUUCUGUUUUUUCAGUGUCUGCAAGUCACAUAAGUAAAACAUGACUGUUUUCAGAGUCUGUGACACUAAGACACUUUAUCUGUGAAAGAUACAUUGUUUAAUACUUUAUUUCUGUUUGGUUUCAAAUUUUAAAAAGGAAA